UGUAGUGUCAUAUCACGCGAGGUGAGUAAUCCUAGGAUCUGCCUGGUAGUGGGACACGUUCGAAAGGAACGCUAAUACCGCAUACGUCCUACGGGAGAAAGUGGGGGAUCUCGGACCUCANNUAUCAGAUGAGCCUAGGUCGGAUUAGCUAGUUGGUGAGGUAAAGGCUCACCAAGGCGACGAUCCGUA
rnacentral:rRNA from 1 species